rnacentral:rRNA from 1 species
AUGUGCUGCAGCGACUGCGGCUGCUACGACGCAUUCUGCGACUGCUGCUGCCCCUGCGUCUCCUACGACGCGCGCGAGACCAUCCUCUGCUGCGCGGCCUGCCUCGCCGUGCUCGCCGGCGUCGUCCUCUUCGCCGUCCUCCUCGCGGCCUACGGCUUCAUCCGCCGCCCCGAGGUCGCCGUCGUCGACGCCUCCCUCACGCGGCUCGCGCUGGCCACGUCCCCCGCCACCGCCUUCGCCUACAACCUCUCGCUCACGCUCACCGUCCGGAACAAGAACUGGGCCAUGAGCGUCAAGAACACGGAGCCGCUCGAGGCCGACUACAGCUUCGACGGCCAGCGCUUCGAGCGGGUCAGGCUCGCCGACGAGGGCUCCACGCACCCCGCCGGCAAGACCCAGGUGUACCACCUCGUCUCCGGCUCCGACGGCGCCUACGUUGCGCUCGGCAACGCCGGUGUCGCCGAGUUCAAGGAGGAGAACAAGACGGGGGUGUUCCAGGUGGAGGUGGCGCUGUCGGGCGAGGUCAGGUACCAGGCGCACUUCACCAAGUGCAAGGUCCUGGCCAAGUGCCCGCUCAAGCUGCAGCUCGCGCCGCCCGGCACGCCGGCCGUCGUCUUCCAGAAGGUCAAGUGCAAGCUCUCUCCGGCAGACAAGAACUGCUAG